rnacentral:rRNA from 1 species
GAUGAACGCUGGCGGCGCGCCUAACACAUGCAAGUCAAACGAUUAAAGCACCUUCGGGUGUGUAUAAAGUGGCGAACGGCUGAGUAACACGUGGGCAACCUGCCCCCUUCAUUGGGAUAGCCACGGGAAACCGUGGAUAAUACCGAAUACUUCGAGACUUCCGCAUGGAAGACUCGAGAAAGCUCCGGCGGAGAGGGAUGGGCCCGCGGCCUGUUAGCUUGUUGGUGGGGUAACGGCCUACCAAGGCAAUGAUGGGUAGCUGGGUUGAGAGACCGACCAGCCAGAUUGGGACUGAGACACGGCCCAGACUCCUACGGGAGGCAGCAGUGGGGAAUCUUGCACAAUGGGCGAAAGCCUGAUGCAGCGACGCCGCGUGCGGGAUGAAGGCCUUCGGGUUGUAAACCGCUUUCAGCAGGGACGAGGCGAAAGUGACGGUACCUGCAGAAGAAGCCCCGGCUAACUACGUG